rnacentral:rRNA from 1 species
GACGAACGCUGGCGGCGUGCCUAACACAUGCAAGUCGAGCGAGUGAAUCUCCUUCGGGAGUGAAGCUAGCGGCGGACGGGUGAGUAACACGUGGGCAACCUGCCUCAUAGAGGGGAAUAGCCUUUCGAAAGGAAGAUUAAUACCGCAUAAGAUUGUAGCUUCGCAUGAAGUAGCAAUUAAAGGAGCAAUCCACUAUGAGAUGGGCCCGCGGCGCAUUAGCCAGUUGGUGAGGUAACGGCUCACCAAGGCGACGAUGCGUAGCCGACCUGAGAGGGUGAUCGGCCACAUUGGGACUGAGACACGGCCCAGACUCCUACGGGAGGCAGCAGUGGGGAAUAUUGCACAAUGGGGGAAACCCUUAUGCAGCAACGCCGCGUGAGUGAUGACGGCCUUCGGGUUGUAAAGCUCUGUCUUCAGGGACGAUAAUGACGGUACCUGAGGAGGAAGCCACGGCUAACUACGUGCCAGCAGCCGCAGUAA